rnacentral:rRNA from 1 species
GAUGAACGCUGGCGGCGUGCCUAAUACAUGCAAGUCGAGCGAACAGACGCGGAGCUUGCUCCUCUGACGUUAGCGGCGGACGGGUGAGUAACACGUGGAUAACCCACUUAUAAGACUGGUAUAACUUCGGGAAACCGGAGCUAAUACCGGAUAAUAUAUUGAUCCGUAUGGUGCAAUAGUGAAUGACGGCUUUGCUGUCACUUAUAGAUGGAUCCGCGCCGCUUUAGCUAGUUGGGAAGGUAACGGCUUUCCAAGGCGACGAUGCGUAGCCGACCUGAGAGGGUGGUAGGCCACACGGGAGCUGGAACGGCGUCCAGACGCCUACGGGAGGCAGCAGUAGGGAAUCGUCGGCAGUGGGCGGGAACCUGGCGGAGCAGCGCCGAGUGAGAGAUGAAGAUCUUCGGAGCGUAAAACUCUGUUAUGGGUGGAGAACAGAUGUGGAAGUAACUGUACACGGCUUGACGGUACCUGGUCAGAAAGCAACGGCUAACUACGUG